CACUCAAUAACUGUUUGCGGUGUUCUUCCGGUAAAAAAGAAGGAAUUAAAAAGGAACCGUGUGUAAAUCACGGGCUGACGCGCAACUGUAAGUAACCUCCCGGGUUAUGGCCGGCAUAUGUCCAUUGUCGGGUACGUCUGCAGACGUACAGACGAGAAGGACGGUCAUAACUGUUACAAGCCAGGAUACUUGCCACAGACAGAUUGAUGUA
rnacentral:ncRNA from 2 species